rnacentral:rRNA from 1 species
UGGUGGAGUGAUUUGUCUGGUUAAUUCCGUUAACGAACGAGACCUCCGCGUGCUAAAUAGUUCUGCUUACCAAUUUGGUAGGUAAGGACUUCUUAGAGGGACUUUCAGUGACUAACUGAAGGAAGUUGGAGGCAAUAACA